UGUACUGUACAUGUCAUGUUGCACUCAUUAAGUUCUCAUCUGAGCAGAUUUCUGUCAUUCAAAC